rnacentral:rRNA from 1 species
CACGUAGGGCGCAAGCGUUGUCCGGAAUUAUUGGGCGUAAAGAGCUCGUAGGCGGUCUGUUGCGUCCGCUGUGAAAACCCGGGGCUUAACCCCUGGCUUGCAGUGGAUACGGACAGACUAGAGGUAGGUAGGGGAGAAUGGAAUUCCCGGUGUAGCGGUGAAAUGCGCAGAUAUCGGGAGGAACACCGGUGGCGAAGGCGGUUCUCUGGGCCGGUACUGACGCUGAGGAGCGAAAGCGUGGGGAGCGAACAGG